rnacentral:tRNA from 1 species
GGGCCCGUGAUGUAAUGGUAACAUGCCAUACUUGACACAUGUGCUAUGCCGGUUCGACUCCGGUCGGGUCCACCC